GAUGAACGCUGGCGGCGUGCCUAAUACAUGCAAGUCGAGCGAACAGAUAAGGAGCUUGCUCCUUUGACGUUAGCGGCGGACGGGUGAGUAACACGUGGGUAACCUACCUAUAAGACUGGGAUAACUUCGGGAAACCGGAGCUAAUACCGGAUAACAUUUGGAACCGCAUGGUUCUAAAGUGAAAGAUGGUUUUGCUAUCACUUAUAGAUGGACCCGCGCCGUAUUAGCUAGUUGGUAAGGUAACGGCUUACCAAGGCGACGAUACGUAGCCGACCUGAGAGGGUGAUCGGCCACACUGGAACUGAGACACGGUCCAGACUCCUACGGGAGGCAGCAGUAGGGAAUCUUCCGCAAUGGGCGAAAGCCUGACGGAGCAACGCCGCGUGAGUGAUGAAGGGUUUCGGCUCGUAAAACUCUGUUAUUAGGGAAGAACAAAUGUGUAAGUAACUGUGCACGUCUUGACGGUACCUAAUCAGAAAGCCACAGCUAACUACGUG
rnacentral:rRNA from 1 species